GAUGAACGCUGGCGGCGUGCCUAACACAUGCAAGUCGAACGUGAUUCGGCAGCAAUAUCGAUGAAAGUGGCGAACGGGUGAGUAACACGUAGAUAACCUGCCUCGAAGAGGGGGAUAACGACUGGAAACGGUCGCUAACACCGCAUGGUGCCGGAUUGACGGGAGUCAAACCGGUGAAAACUCUGGUGCUUCGAGAGGGGUCUGCGGCCGAUUAGCUAGUUGGCGGGGUGAGAGCCCACCAAGGCGACGAUCGGUAGCUGGUCUGAGAGGACGAUCAGCCACACGGGAACUGAGAAACGGUCCCGACUCCUACGGGGGGCAGCAGUGAGGAAUAUUGGGCAAUGGGCGCAAGCCUGACCCAGCAACGCCGCGUGGAGGAUUGAAGGCCUUCGGGUUGUAAACUCCUUUUACGGGGGAAGAGGAAGGACGGUACCCCGAGAAUAAGUCACGGCUAACUACGUGCCAGCAGCCGCGGUAAGAC
rnacentral:rRNA from 1 species